CCUACGGGGGGCUGCAGUGAGGAAUAUUGGUCAAUGGACGAGAGUCUGAACCAGCCAAGUAGCGUGAAGGAUGAAUGCCCUAUGGGUUGUAAACUUCUUUUAUAAAGGAAUAAAACGAGGCACGUGUGCCUUUUUGCAUGUACUUUAUGAAUAAGGAUCGGCUAACUCCGUGCCAGCAGCCGCGGUAAUACGGAGGAUCCGAGCGUUAUCCGGAUUUAUUGGGUUUAAGGGGAGCGUAGAUGGGUUGUUAAGUCAGUUGUGAAAGGUUGCGGCUCAACCGUAAAAUUGCAAUUGAUACUGGCAGUCUUGAGUACAGUUGAGGUAGGCGGAAUUCGUGGUGUAGCGGUGAAAUGCUUAGAUAUCACGAAGAACCCCGAUUGCGAAGGCAGCUUACUAAACUGUGACUGACAUUGAUGCUCGAAAGUGUGGGUAUCAAACAGGAUUAGAUACCCGUGUAGUC
rnacentral:rRNA from 1 species